UACGUAGGGUGCAAGCGUUGUCCGGAAUUAUUGGGCGUAAAGAGCUCGUAGGCGGUUUGUCGCGUCUGCUGUGAAAACUCGGGGCUUAACCCCGGGCCUGCAGUGGGUACGGGCAGACUAGAGUGCGGUAGGGGAGACUGGAAUUCCUGGUGUAGCAGUGAAAUGCGUAGAUAUCAGGAGGAAUACCGAUGGCGAAGGCAGGUCUCUGGGCCGAUAUUGACGCUGAGGAGCGAAAGCGUGGGGAGCGAACAGG
rnacentral:rRNA from 1 species